AUGUGUUGCAAUCAUCACCAGCAGUGACUAUAGCAAACUACUUGCCUCCUUUUCACUUCCUCUUCCUCCUUCUGGGCGUAGAGAAGUCAGGAACAAGGAGCCUGGCUUUGGGGGGGGGGGAGAGAGAGGGAAGGGAUGAGGACUUGUCUGGGGGUCUUCUGGGCCCUGGGCAUUCUCCUCCUCUUGCUGCUUCUGCUGUGGAAGAAGAACUGCCCCAGAAACCUUCCCCCAGGUCCUCCCAGUUGGCCUCUGCUGGGCAGCCUGCUACACCUGAAAGGGCCCUCCUUGCUGCACAGCCUGUUGAAGCUCAGAGAGCAAUAUGGAGACGUGUUCACCAUCUACCUUGGAUCCCAGAGGGCUGUAGUGCUCUGUGGUUACAAAAUGGUGAAGGCUGCCCUUGUGGAUCAAGCGGAGGAAUUUGGGGCUCGGGCCAAACUCUCCAUUGUGGAGAAGACAAGCAAAGGCUAUGGCAUCGCCUUCAGUAAUGGGGAGACUUGGAGGCAGCUCCGUCGCUUCGCCCUCACCAGCCUCCGGAACUUUGGGAUGGGGAAACGGUCCAUUGAGGAGCGGAUCAAGGAGGAAAUCGAGUUCCUGACGGAGGAGUUCAGGAAAACUCAAGGUUCCCCCUUCAACCCCACCUUUCUCCUGCGCCGCUCCGUGUCCAACAUCAUCUGCUCUGUGGUCUUUGGGGAGCGCUUUCAGUAUGGCGACCAGGAGUUCCAGACCCUACUCAACCUUAUCCAAGAGAAUCUCCGGCGGGUGGACACUGUAUGGGUGCAGCUCUAUGGCCUCUUCCCUCAAGUCUUGAAGCACCUCCCUGGUCCACACAACAGGCUCUUUGAGAAUUAUGAGGCGCAAAAGAAAUUCGCAGCCAGGAUGGUUCAGAAACAUGAGGACAACUUGGACCCAGCCAGUCCUCGGGAUUACAUCGACACCUUCCUCAUCCAGAUGUGUCGGGAGAGAGGAACUCCUGGCACUGAAUUCCACCAGGAGAAUCUCAUUGUCUCUGCACUCGACUUGUUCUUCGCUGGGACUGAGACCAUCAGCAGCACCUUGAGAUAUGGCCUCCUGCUCCUCACAAAGUACCCCGAGAUCACUGAGAGAAUCCAAGAGGAGAUAGAACAAGUCAUUGGGCCAAACCGGGCCCCUGCAAUGGAAGACAGGGUGAAGAUGCCGUACACGGAUGCUGUGAUCCACGAAAUCCAGAGAUUCAUUGAUAUUAACCCGCUUGGGAUUCCCCAUUCUGUGACAUGUGAUACAGAGUUCAUGGGAUACACAAUUCCUAAGGGUACCUUUGUGUUCUUUGUAUUUAAUACUGUCCUGCAUGAUCCCACCCAGUUCAAAGCACCAGAGACCUUUGAUCCAGGGCACUUCCUAGACGAGGGAGGCACAUUUAAGAAAUCUCCUGCCUUCAUAGCAUUUUCUGCAGGGAAACGCUCCUGCCCUGGAGAAAGCUUGGCUAGGAUGGAGCUCUUCCUCUAUUUGACCACCAUCUUGCAGAGGUUUACCCUAAUGUCUCCCAUCGCCUCUGAGGAAAUUGACAUCACCCCGGAAUAUAGUGGGUUUGGGGUGGCCCCCCGCCAGUACCAGCUGUGUCUCAUUCCUCGCUGAACCAUCAGGCCCACUGGUGUACGAGAUGUGCCUUUGGGAAAGACAAGAGAGAGAGAAUGCACCUAUCUCCCCCCCCCCGCCCCCUGGAAGACAACUGAUGAAAGGCCAAACAGAAAGUGGGGGCGAUGGGUGCACUGUCUGAUGGCCGUGGAUUUUUCCUGAGGUUCCCACGCCCCACUUCUGCAAGAACUUUAGGGCUCAUUUACAGGCUGUGGCGUUGGAUGGAAGCAACUGUAGGUUCCUCCUGCCAAACAAGAAUGGUUCUGCUGGGAAUGGAAUCCUAAAUAAAUAUGAAAACAAUCCCAGGACUCAUUUGGUUCCCCACCAGACGUCUCACCCCUUAAGUCUCUGAGGGAAGAGGGAACGGAGCCAGACAAACCAAAGGUUGCUUUUUAUUUAUACAUACAUACAUACAUACAUACAUACAUACAUACAUACAUACAUACAUACAUACUCAGCCUAUCUGGCUGAGUUUUCUAGGGAAGUCGCCGGGUGCUCAGAAAACCACAGAACCUGGCACUGCAAUUGACCCCUUUGUGGUGAUUACAUAAAUCUACAAUCCCCACAUCAUGACUUAAACCACUUUUUGCACAUCUGGGCUGGAGCACAAGGAGGAAGGAGAUCCUUUGCUACUUUAUACGCCACCAUCUUCCUGAGGGACUAACGCCAUCUCCUGAAAUCUCAGUUUAGUCCCUUUGGCUCCAGAUGACAAACUCUGUGGGCAAAGGGGCAGGUGCAAAGGAGGAAAGCCAGGCCCACACAGGUGACUGAACGCUUGUGAGGAAAGCACUGAGCAGCUGUUCCUCAGUUACAACAUCGUUUCUCCUCGCUUCCUGCCACAAUGUCAAAAAGCACACGGUGCCCUUUCUGAGGGGAAAUGUUCACCUUCCGUUUUCCUCAGCGCUUCCACCAGGAACUGGGCCUCCUCCUGGAUCCGCUCCUCGAUGGAUCUCUUCCCCAUCCCAAAGUUCCUCAGGGUUGUGAGGGAGAAGCGACGCAGCUGCCUCCACCGUUCCCCAUUGGUGGAAACCACGCCUGGAAAUGGAGAAAAACGCCACAAAAAAGGCAGAAGACUGGGGGAAGAAAAGAUGGAAGCGCUACACAGAAAACAAUGGCACACAGAACAUCCCUCUAGUCUAACAAUCCCGUUCUCACAGGGGUAGCCAUAUGUGCUGCGGGGACAUUUUAUUCACUACAAGUUAGGUCUAAAAGAAGAUGGAAGGGCCAAACAAAAGACACUGGAAAGAGCCAUGUUUUUCUGGUUACUCUGAGAUGGAUAGAAUCGUAUAAUUGUAGAGUUGGAAGGGACCCCAGGGGUCCUCUAGUCCAACCCCCUCCAUUGCAGGAGUUAUGGAGGAAGCCCUGGCAUGGAAGUAACCGCACAGAAAGAUGGAGCGACAGUUGGCAUAAUGUGCGGGGAAGCAGACUUGUGGCAUAAUUUCAGCACCUUGAAUCAGCUCGAGGGCAGCAGACCUCUGGAACUCAGGAACCAACCACCAGGCCUAUGGCUCUCCUCCUUGGGACCUCCCAACCAUCCCAACAAGAUUUAGGCUUUCCAAUGGCUUCCAUUGGUGCCAGUGGUAACAAGAAAGAAAUGGAAGAUGGAGAGAGAGAAGGUGAGAAUGAGGGCAGGGAGGAGGAGGCAGCUGUGAAGGGAGAGAGAAGCAGCAGCAUUAAAUAGGGACAGACAUAAGAUUAGAUUCGGUUCACAUUUAAUUCGCACUCAUUUUUACUUUCCAAAACAAUAGGAGAACUGAAACACAGCCAUGUUUCAAAAUUUGCACUUUUCCAAAUUUUGCAGUGUGGUUCUCCAGCCAAUAUCCAUAAAAACGGUGGAAAGCAGGCAUAAAAAUCUAUUCAUGAAAUAGUGAAAAUAACAUCAAAAUGCAUUGUAUUGGGGAAAUUUGCCUGCAAAGAUAAAAUGUGUACAUUAUGUGCUUACUAGGAGAUAUGUGAACUAAAACACGGUAGAAUUUUGGAGAGGUUUGGUGUGUUUUGUUUUGGGUUUUUU